AAGCGGCAAUGGACCGAUAUCCACAGUUACCGUCCGCUUUCACAUCCACAACGUCACGAAUGAAACCUUGAAUGAAUGGCACAAAUUGAUCCAACAUCGAGAUGAUCCUUGUUGGCUGAGGCGGUUCAGAACAUGAUGCACUACAUUUGACUGGAGAGUUGCUGCUUUGAACAGAAUGAAAAGCAUCAACAUACUCCCAGUAAGACGGAUCACGCUUUGUGGAUCUUUGACUU
rnacentral:lncRNA from 1 species